rnacentral:rRNA from 1 species
UACAGAGACUGCAAGCGUUAUUCGGAUUCACUGGGCGUAAAGGGUGCGUAGGCGGUCGGUUAAGUCUGAUGUGAAAGCCCUCGGCUCAACUGGGGAAUGGCAUUGGAAACUAGCUGGCUGGAGUACCGGAGAGGGAAGCGGAAUUCCUGGUGUAGCGGUGAAAUGCGUUGAUAUCGAUAGGAACUCCGGUGGCGAAGGCGGCAUACUGGACCACAUCUGACGCUGAGGCGCGAAAGCCAGGGGAGCGAACGGG